GAUUACACAGGAAUGAUACGUCGCACGCUGCUUUAACUCAAACGAAGUCGAAAGUAAUAAGAAAGACGGAAGUUGGAGAGGUCGAAGUCAUGACUACGUACACUUGCGUUUUCGCCCUUGCCGUAAACAGAACACUUGGGUCGAUGACAGACGUCCUUUCCAUGGAUUCAACCAACAGGGGUUGUCUUGGUUUUUAACACUUAAUCCUCACGUCCAACUUAAAAGAUCCUAAAGGCGUUUGAAAUGAAGCCAAACCAACAACACGUACAAGCCCCUCCAUUUACGAUGAUAUGCUUACGUUAAAUUCUAAGAUGCUUAUUAUUAGAAUGCUAAUUGUAGGAAACUUUGUGAAUUUGGGAUGUAUGGUUGGAAUUUGUACUGAGUACUAUUCAUGAAAUGGAAUUGAGGCAUGCUGGUAUUGAAAUUGUAACCUAAGUUUCUCUGAACAAUCAUUUAAUAAAUUGUAGGAAACUUUGUGAAUUUGGGAUGUAUGGUUGGAAUUUGUACUGAGUACUAUUCAUGAAAUGGAAUUGAGGCAUGCUGGUAUUGAAAUUGUAACCUAAGUUUCUCUGAACAAUCAUUUAAUUUGAAAAUUUAUGAUGGAACUGCUAGCUUAACAUUAAGAGAAUGUAUUGUGUGAUUGUAUUGAACGGUACCCACUUGUGUUAAUGAAACCGCGGCCGGUGAUUGUUGAAAUGGUGUAACUUGGGUG
rnacentral:lncRNA from 1 species